rnacentral:rRNA from 1 species
AUUGAACGCUGGCGGCAGGCUUAACACAUGCAAGUCGAGCGGAGAGAGGUAGCUUGCUACUGAUCUUAGCGGCGGACGGGUGAGUAAUGCUUAGGAAUCUGCCUAUUAGUGGGGGACAACAUUCCGAAAGGAAUGCUAAUACCGCAUACGCCCUACGGGGGAAAGCAGGGGAUCUUCGGACCUUGCGCUAAUAGAUGAGCCUAAGUCAGAUUAGCUAGUUGGUGGGGUAAAGGCCUACCAAGGCGACGAUCUGUAGCGGGGCUGAGAGGAUGAUCCGCCACACUGGGACUGAGACACGGCCCAGACUCCUACGGGAGGCAGCAGUGGGGAAUAUUGGACAAUGGGCGAAAGCCUGAUCCAGCCAUGCCGCGUGUGUGAAGAAGGCCUUUUGGUUGUAAAGCACUUUAAGCGAGGAGGAGGCUACCGAGAUUAAUACUCUUGGAUAGUGGACGUUACUCGCAGAAUAAGCACCGGCUAACUCUGUGCCAGCCGCCGCAGUAAAAC